CUGGGACCCAGGUUGGGUGCUUCGGCGCCCGCCCCCACCCUUUGCUUAGCCCCCGAAAUUAAAAAAACCCGUCGGCCUUUGGCGCGCCCGCUUGACAGCGUGGUACGCCGGCCGGACAUCAAACCAUGAACAACAUUGCAGCCUGAAGUUAAAAGCAAAUAAUUA
rnacentral:misc_RNA from 1 species